AGAUUGAACGCUGGCGGCAUGCCUAACACAUGCAAGUCGAACGGGAGUAGCAAUACUCUAGUGGCGGACGGGUGAGGAAUACGUAGGAAUUUGCCCUUAAGUGGGGGAUAACCCGGGGAAACCCGGAUUAAUACCGCAUGACCUCGAAAGAGCAAAGUGGGGGAUCGCAAGACCUCACGCUUUUGGAGAAGCCUACGUCGGAUUAGCUAGUUGGUGAGGUAAUGGCUCACCAAGGCGACGAUCCGUAACUGGUCUGAGAGGAUGAUCAGUCACACCGGAACUGAGACACGGUCCGGACUCCUACGGGAGGCAGCAGUGGGGAAUAUGGACAAUGGGCGCAAGCCUGAUCCAGCAAUGCCGCGUGUGUGAAGAAGGCCGUUCGGGUUGUAAGCUACUUUAAGUUAGGGAAAGAAAAACGUCGACUACUAACACAGUAGAGUCUUGACGGUACCGACAGAAUAAGCAACCGGACUAACUC
rnacentral:rRNA from 1 species